rnacentral:rRNA from 1 species
GUGCCUCGCAAGAGGAGCCUGGAGACAGGUGCUGCAUGGCUGUCGUCAGCUCGUGUCGUGAGAUGUUGGGUUAAGUCCCGCAACGAGCGCAACCCUUGUCUUUAGUUGCCAUCAUUCAGUUGGGCACUCUAAAGAGACUGCCGGUGUCAAACCGGAGGAAGGUGGGGAUGACGUCAAGUCCUCAUGGCCUUUAUGACCAGGGCUACACACGUACUACAAUGGCCGGUACAAAGGGCAGCCACUUAGCGAUAAGGAGCCAAUCCCGUAAAGCCGGUCUCAGUCCGGAUUGGAGUCUGCAACUCGACUCCAUGAAGUUGGAAUCGCUAGUAAUCGCAGAUCAGCACGCUGCGGUGAAUACGUUCCCGGGCCUU